AGGAUGAACGCUAGCGGCAGGCUAACACAUGCAAGUCGAGGGGCAGCGUGGAGUAGCAAUACUCUGACGGCGACCGGCGAAAGGGUGAGUAACGCGUGAGCAACAUGCCCGGUAGUGGAGGAUAGUCGAUGGAAACGUCGUGUAAUACUCCGUAACAACAGAGACCGCAUGAUCUUUGUUUAAUAGAUUUAUUGCUAUCGGAUUGGCUCGCGUACCAUUAGCUAGUUGGCGGGUAACGGCCCACAAGGCGACGAUGGUUAGGGGUUCUGAGAGGAAGGUCCCCCACAUUGGAACUGAGACACGGUCCAGACUCCUACGGGAGGCAGCAGUGAGGAAUAUUGGACAAUGGCCGGAAGGACUGAUCCAGCCAUGCCGCGUGCGGGGAAAAGACGGCCCUAUGGGUUGUAAACCGCUUUUGUUGGGGAGCAAUAAGGUCCACGUGUGGAUCGAUGAGAGUACCCAGCGAAUAAGCAUCGGCUAACUCCGUGCCAGCAGCUGC
rnacentral:rRNA from 1 species